rnacentral:rRNA from 1 species
UGAGCAAUCUGCCCUUCUCUUUGGAAUAAGCGUGGGAAACCGCGUCUAAUGCCGAAUACGACCUCCUUUCGCAUGAUCGGAGGUGGAAAGCUCCGGCGGAGAAGGAUGAGCUCGCGGCCUAUCAGCUAGUUGGUGUGGGUAAUGGCCCACCAAGGCGACGACGGGUAGCCGGCCUGAGAGGGUGACCGGCCACACUGGGACUGAGACACGGCCCAGACCUCCGUACGGGAGGNAGCG